rnacentral:rRNA from 1 species
UGUAUUGUUUAUUGAAUUUGUGGUUUGAGUAAAAAUUCUUAAAUGUUUUUAUGGGACGAGAAAACCCUAUAGAGUUUAACUUUUUUUCUAUUUAUAUUUUGUUCGUUUUGGUUUAUUGAGUAGGAAUACUGUUUUGUUGGGGGGAUGGGAGGAAUUUAUUUAACUCCUCUUUGUUUUAAUAUAUUUAUUAUAAUUUUUUGUCCAGUUAUUUUGAUUAAAAGAUUAAAUUACCUUAAGGGAAACAGCGUAAA